GACGAACCGUGCGAACGUUGUUCGGAAUCACUGGGCGUAAAGCGCACGUAGGCGGCUUUCUAAGUCAGGGGUGAAAUCCCUCGGCUCAACCGGGGAACUGCGUCUGAUACUGGGUGGCUUGAGUUUGGGAGAGGGACGCGGAAUUCCAGGUGUAGCGGUGAAAUGCGUAGAUAUCUGGAGGAACACCGGUGGCGAAGGCGGCAUCCUGGACCAACACUGACGCUGAGUGAGCGAAAGCCAGGGGAGCAAACGGG
rnacentral:rRNA from 1 species